rnacentral:pre_miRNA from 1 species
UGAUGCUCAUGCUCCUCAUGAUCAUGGUCAUGGUCGUGAUGAUGAUGCUCGUGCUCCUCGUGAUCAUGGUCGUGAUCGUGAUGAUGAUGC